UGAAUCUCUUCUAAUCCAUUCUUCUACCGCAACCCUCCCAAAACCAUCUACAUUCGAAUCCAUGUAUCUACUCGAUUGCUGACGGAUCAAUUAUCAAGCAACGAUCAGAGCAUUCGUUCUCAAGGAAAGCAUUUGUUCUCCAGGUCUUCACUCCAAUAGCACCACUAAGCCAUCAGGCUGGAUAUUUCUACAAUGUCUAUGAUUGUGUAUUGUAAGAUUCAGUAAAUUACUUGGAUCAUAUCAAUAGAAAGAAACUUAUGUACAACCCAACCAGCC